rnacentral:rRNA from 4 species
UACGUAUGGUGCAAGCGUUAUCCGGAUUUACUGGGUGUAAAGGGAGCGUAGGUGGCAAGGCAAGCCAGAAGUGAAAACCCGGGGCUCAACCGCGGGAUUGCUUUUGGAACUGUCAUGCUAGAGUGCAGGAGGGGUGAGCGGAAUUCCUAGUGUAGCGGUGAAAUGCGUAGAUAUUAGGAGGAACACCGGAGGCGAAGGCGGCUCACUGGACUGUAACUGACACUGAGGCUCGAAAGCGUGGGGAGCAAACAGG